rnacentral:rRNA from 1 species
CCUACGGGGGGCAGCAGUGAGGAAUAUUGGUCAAUGGGCGAAAGCCUGAACCAGCCAUGCCGCGUGAAGGAUGAAGGCCCUCAGGGUUGUAAACUUCUUUUGUACGGGACGAAACCCUUGAACGUGUUCGAGGCUGACGGUACCGUACGAAUAAGCAACGGCUAACUCCGUGCCAGCAGCCGCGGUAAUACGGAGGUUGCAAGCGUUAUCCGGAUUCAUUGGGUUUAAAGGGUGCGUAGGCGGGACGGUAAGUCAGUGGUGAAAGCCUGCAGCUUAACUGUAGAAUUGCCAUUGAUACUGCUGUUCUUGAGUGCAGCUGAGGGGGGCGGAAUGUGUAGUGUAGCGGUAAAAUGCUUAGAUAUUACACAGAACACCGAUUGCGAGGGCAGCUCACAAAACUGUAACUGACGCUGAGGCACGAAAGCGUGGGGAGCAAACAGGAUUAGAUCCCCCUGUAGU